AGAGCGAACGCUGGCGGCAGGCCUAAUACAUGCAAGUCGAACGGACCCUUCGGGGUUAGUGGCGGACGGGUGAGUAACACGUGGGAACGUGCCCUUUGGUUCGGAACAACUCAGGGAAACUUGAGCUAAUACCGAAUGUGCCCUUCGGGGGAAAGAUUUAUCGCCAUUGGAGCGGCCCGCGUCUGAUUAGCUAGUUGGUGAGGUAAAGGCUCACCAAGGCUACGAUCAGUAGCUGGUCUGAGAGGAUGAUCAGCCACACUGGGACUGAGACACGGCCCAGACUCCUACGGGAGGCAGCAGUAGGGAAUCUGCGCAAUGGGCAAAGCCUGACGCAGCCAUGCCGCGUGAAUGAUGAAGGUCUUAGGAUUGUAAAAUUCUUUCAGCGGGGACGAUAAUGACGGUACCGCAGAAGAAGCCCGGCUAACUUCGUGCCAGCAGCCGC
rnacentral:rRNA from 1 species